UGGGGAAUUUUGGCCAAUGGGGGAAACCCUGAUCCAGCCAUCCCGCGUGUGCGAUGAAGGCCUUCGGGUUGUAAAGCACUUUUGGCAGGAAAGAAACGUCAUGGGUUAAUACCCCGUGAAACUGACGGUACCUGCAGAAUAAGCACCGGCUAACUACGUGCCAGCAGCCGCGGUAAUACGUAGGGUGCAAGCGUUAAUCGGAAUUACUGGGCGUAAAGCGUGCGCAGGCGGUUCGGAAAGAAAGAUGUGAAAUCCCAGAGCUCAACUUUGGAACUGCAUUUUUAACUACCGGGCUAGAGUGUGUCAGAGGGAGGUGGAAUUCCGCGUGUAGCAGUGAAAUGCGUAGAUAUGCGGAGGAACACCGAUGGCGAAGGCAGCCUCCUGGGAUAACACUGACGCUCAUGCACGAAAGCGUGGGGAGCAAACAGG
rnacentral:rRNA from 1 species